rnacentral:rRNA from 1 species
GAUGAACGCUAGCGGCAGGCUUAACACAUGCAAGUCGAGGGGUAUUGGUUUUCGGACCAAGAGACCGGCGCACGGGUGCGUAACGCGUAUGCAAUCUACCUUUUGCAGAGGGAUAGCCCAGAGAAAUUUGGAUUAAUACCUCAUAGUACAGUAGUUUCGCAUGAAACGACUAUUAAAGUUCCAACGGCAAAAGAUGAGCAUGCGUCCCAUUAGCUAGUUGGUAAGGUAACGGCUUACCAAGGCAACGAUGGGUAGGGGUCCUGAGAGGGAGAUCCCCCGCACUGGUACUGGGACACGGACCAGACUCCUACGGGAGGCAGCAGUGAGGAAUAUUGGACAAGGGGCGCAAGCCUGAUCCAGCCAUGCCGCGUGCAGGAUGACGGUCCUAUGGAUUGUAAACUGCUUUUGUACAGGAAGAAACACUCCCUCGUGAGGGAGCUUGACGGUACUGUAAGAAUAAGGAUCGGCUAACUCCGUGCCAGCCGCCGCCGUAA